rnacentral:rRNA from 1 species
GUGGGGAAUUUUCCGCAAUGGGCGAAAGCCUGACGGAGCGACACCGCGUGGAGGAUGAAGUAUUUAGGUAUGUAAACUCCUUUUGGCAGGAAUGAAACAAAUGACAGUACCUGCAGAAUAAGCAUCGGCUAACUACGUGCCAGCAGCCGCGGUAAUACGUAGGAUGCAAGCGUUGUUCGGAAUUACUGGGCGUAAAGAGUACGUAGGCGGCAAUGAUAGUCUGAUAUUAAAGACUGGGGCUUAACCUCAGGAGUGUAUCGGAAACUUCAUAGCUAGAGGACAGUAGAGGAAGUUGGAAUUCCCAGUGUAGCGGUGAAAUGCGUAGAUAUUGGGAGGAACACCAGUGGCGAAAGCGAACUUCUGGGCUGUUACUGACGCUGAGGUACGAAAGUGUGGGGAGCAAACAGGAUUAGAUACCCUAGUAGUCC